UAUUGUGUAUGCAGUGCUUGAAAAUUCAACCUGUUGGGCCAGGUUGCUCAAUUUCUUCCUGUACUAUACAUGGCAAAUUUUAAAAUGAUAAAAGAACAAAGAUGUAACUGAUGCAAUUCAGAAUGUUGUUGCGGCUUAUGACUGCAAAAUUGUUGAAUGUGUCUUUCUCCAUCAACUGAAGCAGUUUGACAGGAACUACCACUUGAAGAUGAAAGCAUCUAGGUUUAUUUUCAGUGAAAUAAAUCAGAAAUUUCCUCCCAUGCCAUUCACAGCUAGAUGUGUUGUGCCUUCACCGCAUUUUUUAAAACAUUGUCUUUUGAUGAAUGAGUUAAUCAUGAACUCUUGCAGCCAUAUCCUAUUCUUCAUGAGAAGCCAAACGGUAGGAAACUUGUAUCUGGGUUAAAAGCAGGAGAUUAUGUUGCUCACAUCAAAUUCACAGUUUUGCCAAUGCCAAAUGGUUCGAAUAGAGUCACAUCUCAUCCUCUGCAGGAGCUGCAGCCCGCAAAGACAACAGAUGAUCCCGAAAUCAAGGCCUUGUUAGCCUUGGGCUCAAAGAAAAAGAAGAAAAGUAAAAUGAGUCAACUGAAGCCGAGCCUAUGGAUGCAACAACAAAUGGUGCUGCUUCCCAUCCCAAGAUUGAGUCUGUUUUAUUUUUAUUUUUUAUUUUGUUUUGUUUCAUUUUUGAACAGAACAAAGUACCAAGUGAGUCUUCGUACUUUUUUCAAUCCAUUGUAUCAGGUUGGAUUGAGUUGGUUUAUUAUUGUGUUUAGACAUUGA